rnacentral:rRNA from 1 species
ACGGAGGGUGCAAGCGUUAUCCGGAUUCACUGGGUUUAAAGGGUGCGUAGGUGGAUCAAUAAGUCAGUGGUGAAAUCUUCGAGCUUAACUCGGAAAUUGCCAUUGAUACUGUAGGGCUUGAGUAUAGUUGCCGUUGGCGGAAUAUGACAUGUAGUGGUGAAAUACAUAGAAAUGUCAUAGAACACCGAUUGCGAAGGCAGCUAACGAAACUAUAACUGACACUGAGGCUCGAAAGUGCGGGGAUCAAACAGGA